rnacentral:rRNA from 1 species
GCAUAUCAAUAAGCGGAGGAAAAGAAACCAACAGGGAUUGCCCUAGUAACGGCGAGUGAAGCGGCAACAGCUCAAAUUUGAAAUCUGGCGUCUUCGGCGUCCGAGUUGUAAUUUGCAGAGGGCGCUUUGGCAUCGGCAGCGGUCCAAGUUCCUUGGAACAGGACGUCACAGAGGGUGAGAAUCCCGUACGUGGUCGCUAGCCUUUACCGUGUAAAGCCCCUUCGACGAGUCGAGUUGUUUGGGAAUGCAGCUCUAAAUGGGAGGUAAAUUUCUUCUAAAGCUAAAUACUGGCCAGAGACCGAUAGCGCACAAGUAGAGUGAUCGAAAGAUGAAAAGCACUUUGGAAAGAGAGUUAAAAAGCACGUGAAAUUGUUGAAAGGGAAGCGCUUGCAGCCAGACUUGCCUGUAGUUGCUCAUCCGGGUUUCUACCCGGUGCACUCUUCUAUAGGCAGGCCAGCAUCAGUUUGGGCGGUUGGAUAAAGGUCUCUGUCAUGUACCUCUCUUCGGGGAGAACUUAUAGGGGAGACGACAUGCAACCAGCCUGGACUGAGGUCCGCGCAUCUGCUAGGAUGCUGGCGUAAUGGCUGUAAGCGGCCCGUCUUGAAACACGGACCAAGGAGUCUAACAUCUAUGCGAGUGUUUGGGUGUCAAGCCCGAGCGCGUAAUGAAAGUGAACGGAGGUGGGAACCUUUCGGGGUGCACCAUCGACCGAUCCUGAUGUCUUCGGAUGGAUUUGAGUAAGAGCAUAGCUGUUGGGACCCGAAAGAUGGUGAACUAUGCUUGAAUAGGGUGAAGCCAGAGGAAACUCUGGUGGAGGCUCGCAGCGGUUCUGACGUGCAAAUCGAUCGUCAAAUUUGGGCAUAGGGGCGAAAGACUAAUCGAACUAUCUAGUAGCUGGUUCCUGCCGA